CCUGGGCCGGAGCGAGCCAUCUGCGGGCACUAUGCAAAGCGGGAGACGGCGCGAGCGGCGCCCGGCUCACACUAGCUCUUCCAGGACGCAGGUCUUUUUUUUUUUUUUUCUUUUUCUUUUUUCAUUUCCCAGAUACAGCUGAUCGAGUUCGCCGAGUGGCCGAGCGAGUGAGCGCUCCUCCGACUUGGGUGGAGGAAGGCACGGAAAAGUAUACGGGAGAAAAAGUGGGGGUUUUAGGGGUGGGGGUGGCAUAGGAGGAGGGAGGGGGGGAUCUGCAAAUCAUUCCACUUUUUAAACGAUCAUAGGUAGUGUCAAGGAUACGUGUCACCCUUGGUUCCUUUUAAAGGGGAGGUGGACAAUAAAAUACAGGUAGGUUUGGUAUUAAAAUAAUAGGUGCCAGAGGUUUCACAUCGGGUCCGCUGCAUCUGUUAUUAGACGAAGAUCAACAUUGGCUGAGUCCCAGUUUAUCUCCAGUCCAAAUUAUCAGGAAGAGGAAUAUUUACCCUUGGUUACCUCUGACAUUAGUUGGAUUGUAGGUAAAGCAGCCUUUAAAAAUAUAUAUGUUGCAAACAUCUGGCGAUUACCCUUCACUAAUUCACUCGCCCCAGAAAGACCAAAGAUAGCUGUUCAAUACAGGAUUUACACAGUUUUGACGCCUGGGCAACAAACUUUAAAGUUUAUUAGGCAAGAAAUUUCAAACGCAUAAAUCGCAGGCUCUAAAAUAAAGCCCUAGAAAAUUUACUUUGGUUUGACAUUUCUUGCUUGAAAAAUAACCAGCAAAAUUUCUUUAGAUAAUGUGGCUCUUAAAGAUCUCCUUGGGCUUUGCAAGUUACAAAUGCAAGCGAGCCUCAGCCGCAGCUAGAACGUCCCUUUCACCGGGCACAGUAAACGGCUUUUAAUAAAGCAGCCGCGUUUAUGACCUAAAGAUCCUAUAAAAGCUGGGACUUGCAAGAGCUGCGAAGCAGAAACAUUCAUACAUAGUCUAUUAGACACUCAUUUUUGUAAGUAGGAGGAGGACAAGUAGUCUUCGUGUGUCCCUCAAAUUUAAUCAGAUCAAAGGUUGAAUCAUGCUGUGUCGUGACAACAGGGUAUUUAUGAGGUGUGUUACAAGUACACUGGCCAAACACUACCAAUGUCUUCUGCGACACACACACACACACACUCCUUCCUAGGGAAUUUACAAUUUCAGCCUCAAAUUCACCAAACCGUAAAGAGGAUAUUAAGCCCUCCCUUUGAAUAAGAAUAGCGAUGUUAGUAUGUCCGAGUCUAUCCCGGCAGGAAACUUUUGGCACGAAUUUCAAACAGUGAAAAGGAGAAAAAAAAUUAGGUCGGUCAGGUUAGGUGUCGGCGAUAAGAAAAGAGAUUGCGGGAGCAUCCCCAGCCUUCUUCUUUCCCCUUUUGCCGCCCCCACACACUCCCCCCACGCGUCUAUCACGGAAGCAACACAGAGGAGCGCACACGCACCACUCACACCUCCAACUAUUGACUGUUGUAUCAGGUGUUCUAACCGGGAUGUGACAGUUGAGGCUGGGAGCAGAAAUAAUCAACAUGCCCAUUAGAUACAGGACGGAAUAAUGCUUCUAUUGGUUGGGUCCCUUCGAGGUAAGCGGGUGUAUUGAGCGGGGAAACUUGGGAUCUGAGAAUGGAUCAAAGCUACUUUCUUUCUUAUUUUUCGUCCUACUAGUUUUCUUUAAGAAUCUUGGUUUGUACAUAUAAGUUAGCGCCAGCCCACAAAUAAACUGGUAGGAGUAAGGGCUAUAUACCUUUCCACACCUUAAAACCAUCUGCUCAGUUUGACAUUUAAAAGGGCGGAGAGCAGAGAAGGAGGAGGGGGGAGUAGGGGGAAGAAAGGAGUCAGGGACAGAGAAAAAGAUUCAAACGCGAAAAAAAUGGCUUGCACUUUAGCCCACAAGUUUGUGUCAAUUGCACAUAGCGCUUGAAUGCACGUUUUGCACACACCACGCCCGGGAACUGGCGGCGGGAAAAGUUCCCUGAGAACCCCAGUAAGUCCUGUGUCACGCCGUGGGCAAAAGCAGGCCUGAGUCGAAGUCGGGGUAACCCGCUUGCCGAACAAGGAAGCUCUCCCACCCCCAGCCUCGGCGGCAGAGGCUCCCGGCUCGCGACGCUCUGCCGCGGCGGUUCGCAGCCCGCAUUAGGGCGCAGGAGCGGCGACUUGAAAUAGGAGCGCGCGCCACGCUAGGCGAGCGAGAUCGGUUCGCAGCCCAGCUCCGUGAGCUGCCUCGGCGCAGCCCUGUCCCGUGUCCUGUCCUCUACUGUCGGGGAGGCGUACAGGCCAGGCUCCUGGCAACCUCUCUUGCUAGAGCUGCGGCAUUCUCCUGGGUCUCGGGCUGCCCUGGACAAGACUUGAGGCCCGAGCCCCCUAUCUCGGGCGACUCCCGCUUUGUUUUCUGAUAGGGGAGAAGCCUGGAGACAAGGAGUCGCCUAGAUAUUGGCUCCAUCUCUGAAACCAGCCGCCAAGCCUAGGGUUAAGACAACUCCUCCCUCCGCCCCACUUCCAACACAACCCCAGUAACUUAGAAGUUAACGCAAGUUCUGACCGGUCUUGUAACACACUCUAUCCGUGCAGGUUGCAUUUACUUAUUUAUCUGAAGGGUGAUCUGUGUGUUCUUAGACAAACUCGCAGUUAUCACCCAUGCAUCUGGUUCUGGGUUAAAUACACUUCGCCUUGACAUUUGCUCGGUGUAUGCUCACGCCUCCUGUUCUUUCUUAAAGCUGUUAGGUGGGGGCAGGAGGGAAGACAGUGUGUAUAAGUAAUUUAAAACCUUACAAACAACUGUUAUCAGAUCCUAAACAAACCAAUUCUGAGAAUUACAACCAGAUUCAGUUGAGAGGCAAAAGUGGACGUGGAUUUUGGAAAAGGGUGCCUAAGGACUUCCAGGUCAGCCACCCACCGCUACCACCACCACCACCGCCACCACUACCACCAUCACUAUCAGCACCCUGAAGAAGGGAAGAGAGGAAAACCAACCCCAGGGUGCAGGCCUGCCUGCUGCAAGCUUUCUAGAGGCAAAACUGACUGACGGCCUCUCACUCUCAUCUCCUGUGCUCAGUGUGACGCCAAGCCCAACCUGGAUUUGUUCUGAAUGGGGGGGAAGUGAAAUGCCACAAGAUCAGUAGCAAGUAGCAGCUGCAGCGUUUUCUCUCCUGGGAACCCCACUGCUUAGAAGCCUCCUGAGUGAUGUUUGUUUAACCAACAGCUUUCAAAGUAAACAGAAGCCAAUCACUCCAAAGAAGUUGAAAUAUAACCCUUACAAGAAUUUGGAUCCAGGGGUGCUGGCAGAAAGAAAGUAAUUUUUAAAAUGAUAAAGAACCCACUCCCAAAUAAGAGUCUGCCACAUUGCUUUAAGGAGCGCAGAAUUGUCAUGAAAAUAUAAUUUCAUCGAAAGGGCUAAUUACAAUAAGUUGACCUCGAAGAAAAUCACUCUUCGCCCACAAAGACACACCCGCGGGGAUGAGGAGGUUGUCAGUGAUUGAAGGGACACACUACUACUUGAUUUUAUGGAAGUGGGCGAAAACAAUCAAAGGGAAGUACAUUCCCUGCCCUGGAGUAGUGAAGUGUAGGCUGGGAGCUCUUCGCCGCCAACCCUGGCUUUGCCUCAGGCACCGAACUUUCCAAUACCAAGAUAUUAACAGAUGGUGGUGAGCACAUGGAGGGCUGCUACUUACAUAAUCUAGCCACUCCGCCCGGCUGCCCAGAGCCCGGCGAGGAACCGGCCAGGCCGCGCGCGCGCCUUCCGAGGGGUGCUCCCUGACAUAACUUGCCUUUCUCCAACCCCACCCAUCGUUUUGAGGGUUAGCAUUUGGAGAGGCCGUGAUUUAAAAAAACCAAACAAAAACAAAAACACCCAAAA
rnacentral:lncRNA from 10 species